UCAGCCCUAGUCGGUGUGGAAGGACAUUAACACCAGCACUUGAAUACCAGAGACAGGAUUCAUGGGGAUUAUAGUGGAUAUAAUUUUUCUCAUUAGUGUUUUACAAUUUUCAGCAUUCAAAUCUUGACAAUAUUUUGUUUGAUUUAUCCCAAAGUAUUUCAUGUUCUUUGGUGCCAUUUUGAAUGGGGCUAUUUUUUGUUUUAAUUUCCAAUUGCUUUUUGUUACUAUAUAAAAUAUAACUAAUUUUUUAUGUUGCUUUUGUAAACUGUCCUUGCUAGUCUCACCUACUAGUUCCAGUAGAUUUUUGGUAGAUUUAUGGGAAUUUUUAUGUGGAUAAUCAUAUUUCUGUGGAUAAAGAUGAGUUCAUUUCAUUUUUUCCUAUAAACAUUUUUAUUAGUUGGUGUAUUUUACAGGCAAGGUUCUCCACCAAGUAGAUGUGAUAAGAGUGUACAUCCCUACCUCAUCUCCAUGCUUGGGAAGAAAAUAUAUAGUCUUUCAUCAUUAAGUAUAAUUUUACAAAUUUUUCAUAGAUUUCCUGUUAUCAGGCUGAGAAAGCUCCCUUUCAUACCUAAUUUAUUGAAAGUAUUUAUGAAUGAAUAUUGAAUUUUUUCAAAUGUCUUUUGUGAAUUUAUUGAGAUAAUCAUACAGUGUUCUGGCAAAUGCACUAUUAAUUUUUGAAUGUUGAACCAAACUUACAUUCCUGGGAUAAGCCCACUUGGGUAUAAUGUGUGAACUUUUUUUAUAUAUGACUAGAUUUGACUGAGUAACAUUUGGUUAAUGAUUUUGUAACCCAUGUGUAAGGGUGAUAUUAUUCUGUGGUUUCCUUGGAGUAUCCAUCUCUGAGUUCAUUAUCAUGAUUGUUAGACUUCAUCUUCAAAGUUUCUCAAGUUUGGGCUAGAGUCCAAGACUCUGCACUUCUAACAAGUUACCAGUUUUACAGUUGAGGAAUCAGAAGCCCAGAAAAAAUGAGGGAAACUUCCCAGAGUCAUUAAGCAAGUCAAAUAUUCAAUAAAAUUGGUCUUUCAGCAUUUGGGACUCACACAUACAAGUCAAAAGACUUCACUGGAAUGGAACGUGCACCAGGGGCAGUCACCUGCACAUGAGCUGAGCUGACAAUGACAUCCUGCCCAUUUCUAUGUCCUGGACCCUUGUCGAGCUCAUCAGUCUGCCCAUAUCUUCUGCAGAUGAUUCAUUUCAUGUCCAGCUGGUCUGACCACAUUGUCACCUAACCACACCACCAUGCUGGUUUCUUACUUAUAAGGAAGAAGAAACAUUGAUGUGAAGGAGUUGGAGGGAGUCAAACCAACUAGUAAAUCACUGUUACCUCUGGGGCACAGCUUGAGAAGGGCAGAAGAAGACACUUUUAUAUAAUCCAUCUAAGUAAUGGAAUUAUGACUAUUUUUCUCUCAUCUUUAAACAUAUUUCAAGA